rnacentral:rRNA from 1 species
GACGAACGCUGGCGGCGUGCCUAAUACAUGCAAGUAGAACGCAGUUGCGAACGGGUGAGUAACGCGUAGGUAACUGCCUGGUAGCGGGGGAUAACUAUUGGAAACGAUAGCUAAUACCGCAUACUACCAGAUGGACCUGCGUUGUAUUAGCUAGUUGGUGGGGUAACGGCUCACCAAGGCAACGAUACAUAGCCGACCUGAGAGGGUGAGAGGCCACACUGGGACAGAGACACCGCCCAGACUCCUACGGGAGGCAGCACUAGGGACGCUGCGGAAAUGGACGGAAGGCUGACCGAGCAACGCCGCGGGAGUGAAGAAGGGUUUCGGAUCGUAAAGCUCUGUUGUAAGAGAAGCGGUAUCUUACCUUAAAGCUACGGCUAACUACGUGCCAGCAGCCGCGGUAAUUC